rnacentral:rRNA from 1 species
AUUGAACGCUGGCGGCAUGCUUUACACAUGCAAGUCGAACGGUAACAGGUUAAGCUGACGAGUGGCGAACGGGUGAGUAAUGCAUCGGAACGUGCCCGAUCGUGGGGGAUAACGCAGCGAAAGCUGCGCUAAUACCGCAUACGAUCUGAGGAUGAAGGCGGGGGACCGUAAGGCAUCGCGCGAUCGGAGCGGCCGAUGUCAGAUUAGGUAGUUGGUGGGGUAAAGGCCCACCAAGCCGACGAUCUGUAGCUGGUCUGAGAGGACGACCAGCCACACUGGGACUGAGACACGGCCCAGACUCCUACGGGAGGCAGCAGUGGGGAAUUUUGGACAAUGGGCGAAAGCCUGAUCCAGCAAUGCCGCGUGCAGGAAGAAGGCCUUCGGGUUGUAAACUGCUUUUGUACGGAGCGAAAAGGUCCUUUCUAAUACAAGGGGCUCAUGACGGUACCGUAAGAAUAAGCACCGGCUAACUACGUGCCAGCAGCCGCCGUAA